rnacentral:rRNA from 1 species
AAUUCGAUGAUACGCGGGGAACCUUACCUGGGCUUAAAUGUAGGGUGCAUUUUCUAGAGAUAGGAAUUCCCUUCGGGGCUUUCUACAAGGUGCUGCAUGGUUGUCGUCAGCUCAUGCCGUGAGGUGUCGGGUUAAGUCCCAUAACGAGCGCAACCCUUAUCGUUAGUUGCCAUCUGGUAAAGCAGGGGACUCUAGCGAAACUGCCACCGUAAGGUGAGAGGAAGGUGGGGAUGACGUCAAAUCAGCACGGCCCUUAUGUCCAGGGCUACACACGUGUUACAAUGGUCGGUACAGAGGGCAGCUACCUGGUGACAGGAUGCUAAUCUCGAAAACCGGCCUCAGUUCGGAUCGAAGUCUGCAACUCGACUUCGUGAAGCUGGAUUCGCUAGUAAUCGCGGAUCAGCAUGCCGCGGUGAAUACGUUCCCGGGCCUU